rnacentral:rRNA from 1 species
AGUGGCGGACGGGUUAGUAACGCGUGGGAACGUACCCUUUUCUACGGAAUAGCCUUUGGAAACGAAGAGUAAUACCGUAUACGCCCUUCGGGGGAAAGAUUUAUCGGAGAAGGAUCGGCCCGCGUUAGAUUAGAUAGUUGGUGGGGUAAUGGCCUACCAAGUCUACGAUCUAUAGCUGGUUUUAGAGGAUGAUCAGCAACACUGGGACUGAGACACGGCCCAGACUCCUACGGGAGGCAGCAGUGGGGAAUCUUAGACAAUGGGCGCAAGCCUGAUCUAGCCAUGCCGCGUGAGUGAAGAAGGCCUUAGGGUCGUAAAGCUCUUUCGCCUGUGAUGAUAAUGACAGUAGCAGGUAAAGAAACCCCGGCUAACUCCGUGCCAGCAGCCGCGGUAAUACGGAGGGGGUUAGCGUUGUUCGGAAUUACUGGGCGUAAAGCGCACGUAGGCGGAUUGGAAAGUUAGAGGUGAAAUCCCAGGGCUCAACCCUGGAACUGCCUUUAAAACUCCCAGUCUUGAGUUCGAGAGAGGUGAGUGGAAUUCCAAGUGUAGAGGUGAAAUUCGUAGAUAUUUGGAGGAACACCAGUGGCGAAAGCGGCUCACUGGCUCGAUACUGACGCUGAGGUGCGAAAGUGUGGGGAGCAAACAGGAUUAGAUACCCUGGUAGUCCACACGA